AGCGAACGCUGGCGGCAGGCCUAACACAUGCAAGUCGAACGAACCUUUCGGGGUUAGUGGCGGACGGGUGAGUAACACGUGGGAACGUGCCUUUAGGUUCGGAAUAACUCAGGGAAACUUGUGCUAAUACCGAAUGUGCCCUUCGGGGGAAAGAUUAAUCGCCUUUAGAGCGGCCCGCGUCUGAUUAGCUAGUUGGUUGAGGUAAUGGCUCACCAAGGCGACGAUCAGUAGCUGGUCUGAGAGGAUGAUCAGCCACAUUGGGACUGAGACACGGCCCAAACUCCUACGGGAGGCAGCAGUGGGGAAUCUUGCGCAAGGGGCGAAAGCCUGACGCAGCCAUGCCGCGUGAAUGAUGAAGGUCUUAGGAUUGUAAAAUUCUUUCACCGGGGACGAUAAUGACGGUACCCGGAGAAGAAGCCCCGGCUAACUUCG
rnacentral:rRNA from 1 species